rnacentral:tRNA from 1 species
GGGCCUAUAGCUCAGUGGUAGAGCCACCGGCUCAUAACCGGUUGGUCCUAGGUUCGAAUCCUAGUAGGCCCA